rnacentral:rRNA from 1 species
GCCUAACACAUGCAGUCGAACGGGAAUCUUCGGAUUCUAGUGGCGGACGGGUGAGUAACGCGUAAGAAUCUAACUUCAGGACGGGGACAACAGUUGGAAACGACUGCUAAUACCCGAUGUGCCGCAAGGUGAAAACUAAUUGGCCUGAAGAAGAGCUUGCGUCUGAUUAGCUAGUUGGUGGGGUAAGAGCCUACCAAGGCGACGAUCAGUAGCUGGUCUGAGAGGAUGAGCAGCCACACUGGGACUGAGACACGGCCCAGACUCCUACGGGAGGCAGCAGUGGGGAAUUUUCCGCAAUGGGCGAAAGCCUGACGGAGCAACGCCGCGUGAGGGAGGAAGGUCUUUGGAUUGUAAACCUCUUUUCUCAAGGAAGAAGUUCUGACGGUACUUGAGGAAUCAGCCUCGGCUAACUCCGUGCCAGCAGCCGCGGUAAUACGGGGGAGGCAAGCGUUAUCCGGAAUUAUUGGGCGUAAAGCGUCCGCAGGUGGUCAGCCAAGUCUGCCGUCAAAUCAGGUUGCUUAACGACCUAAAGGCGGUGGAAACUGGCAGACUAGAGAGCAGUAGGGGUAGCAGGAAUUCCCAGUGUAGCGGUGAAAUGCGUAGAGAUUGGGAAGAACAUCGGUGGCGAAAGCGUGCUACUGGGCUGUAUCUGACACUCAGGGACGAAAGCUAGGGGAGCGAAAGGGAUUAGAUACCCCUGUAGUCCUAGCCGUAAACGAUGGAUACUAGGC